UGAGUGUGGACGACGCCCUGGGCGAGACGCUGCGCCUGCUGCCCGACCCCGCGCCACGACUCGAGACCGCGGCCGCCGUGCUGCGGCAGGCACAACAACUAAACAAGUGCAACAGUCGAGUGCGGGAGGCUUCUUGUGUCGCCCUGCAGAACUGCUCCCUGCGCAUCGCUGCUGCUGAUAAUGUUGCUGAUAAUGAUGCUGAUAAUGAUGAUGAUGCCAACUAGUCAGCUGCUUUUAACCAGUCGGCUUCGAUCUACCAUUUUUCCGAUAAUUGUCAACGUGCUUAUAUAUAUUCCACGCUAGCUUUACUUUGAAAUAUUAAAUCUUAGAGUUGGAAUUAAGAAAAAUAAAUGAACGAGGUCAGGGAUUCAAUAUAGAUAUUUUAUCCGAUAUCUGUCAAUAAAAGAUUCUAAAUUGUAGAAAAUUCCGGUCUCUCUCAAUUUAUAUUUCCCUCAUAUUCUUUCGUUACGGGCGUGCGAGUCUUGCUUCAUUUCGAACUCCUGCACUUUAGAGAACAGUCGAUAGAUUGAUGAUUUUUAGUUGAUGAUUGAUGAUUUAGAACAGUCGAGAGUAGGUAUCUACAACGAAUCAUCUAAGUGAAGCCUUCAUCUUGGAGAUGCUCAGCGCUCUGAACUCCUCUCUAUUAGGCAAUAUAUUUGAUAACAAUUCUUACUUUAGAACCAGUUAUUCAACACAAUUCGAGAGCGAUUCUCUCCAAAUUCUAAAUCAAGAUUAAAAUUUGCUAGAAGACGUAUGCGUUUUGUAUAAACUUCUCAAUAUGUACCGACAAUCAUGCAGUUUCUGGUAGGCACUCGGAACAUUAAUCGUUGUGUCUGCAAAGAUUACACCAAUUUUAUUUGUACUGAU
rnacentral:lncRNA from 1 species